rnacentral:rRNA from 1 species
AUUGAACGCUGGCGGCAGGCCUAACACAUGCAAGUCGAACGAGUGGCGGACGGGUGAGAAAUGUCUGGGAAACUGCACGAUGGGGGGGGAUAACUACUGGCAACGGUAGCUAAUACCGCAUACAAUCAGAUGUGCCCAGCUGGGUUUAGCUAGUAGGUGGGGUAACGGCUCACCUAGGAGACGACCCCUAGCUGGUAUGAGAGGAUGACCAGCCACACUGGAACAGAGACACGGUCCAGAUUCCUACGGGAGGCAGCAGUGGGGAAUAUUGCACAAUGGGCGCAAGCCUGAUGCAGCCAUGCCGCGUGUAUGAAGAAGGCCUUCGGGUUGUAAAGUACUUUCAGCGAGGAGGCGUUACCCGCAGAAGAAGCACCGGCUAACUCCGUGCCAGCAGCCGCGGUAAUUC